CCACGCGAGCGAAAAAACCACCGCACCGUGCUCGACGUGCAGGCCCCGCACCCGUCUUUCUCCUCCAGCGAAUCGAGCGGGCAGCGAGCGACAGUGAAAGAAACGCUCCCAGCCCUAGCCCACCCCGCGACCCUCGUUCCUCAUGCGCCGCCCCCGACGCCCCCCGCCCGUGAUGUAGAAAUUGAGAGGAAAGAGGAGAGGAAGGUGAGGUAGCAGGCAUGAGAGGGUCAUCGGCUGCUGUCGGCCAGCGCCGGCGAGGUCGGGCACGACCUGGCGGUUGGUGGCGGCUCAAUCCGCUCCUGGAUCGGGAGAGGAGGAAGGGAGGUGGGGGGCCGGCCGUCUCUGUGCCUCCUCGCCGCCGAGCUGCGGCUGCCCCGUGCGCUCUCUCUCUCUCUCUCUCGAUCUCGAUCUGAGAGGAAACGAGGUAGCCACAGCCUCCUGCACCCCCUUCUCUCUCGCCGCUGCUGCUCCCCAACCACCGUGAUGUGACGUUGCUUCCCCAAUUGGUCGCUGUCUCGUCUCCCCCGACCUCAAUACCGUCCUGGGCGGCGCCGGUACCGAGGCGCCACCUCUGCCUCCACCCCCACUAGGCAAGGAGCUCGAGGUGUUUGGGGGAUUUUUGUCCCUGAUGUUAAUUAGGGUGACUAUUUCUGUUUGGGUAAUCUGGGGGACGAAUUUGAUGCUUGUGUUAAAUUCUUGUUGUAUCAUUUUUUGUGCCCAUUAAAUACAUUUACCAUUUUAUGACUUGAAUUUGCGGCCAGAGAGCGUUGAUUUUACCGAAUACAGGUCAAUUAUUCUUCACUAAUUCAUUUCCUUGUAGUACAGUUGUGUUAGUUAUUUGCUUGCAAGAUAGCAUCUUCCUGAAUGAUUUCUUUAUAUUUUUCAGAUAAGGAGAACUUUAACCUUGCGCCCACCUAUGGCAAUAUUGCCAUCUUUAUAUUCUCCCUCGCUCAUCAGCGGCAGCGAUGGUGGUGUCAUUGUCGGCCUUGCAGCAUGUGGCAUAAUCAUGUCCAUUGCCUACUCUGGGGCAGAUCUGAUGCAAGACUUCAAGUGCGGCUACCUCACCCUCUCUUCACCAUGUGCAGAGUGUUCAUCUCGCAGGUUCCAAGUUGGUUAAUGUUGAUUUUUGCUCAUGCACAACCCAUCAUAGGAAUUAGUAGGAUCAUCUUUGAUGGAUGUAAGGACUGCAACAGGUUUCUUUCAGCAGCCUGGGGUUGUUAAGAACAGGGUCGGGAUUGCUCUGGGCAGAUGCUUAAGUUCCUGGAUGUAAACGCACACUUGUCUCCUACACAGGCCAAAAUACUAUUGGAGAUAAGGAUACCCGCGCUGCUGCUGUUGCGUUUGGUUAGGGAGGGGCUUCUUCGUCUGCUUUGCCGUGUGGUGGCUGUGUGGCUGCUUGUUCCUUCUUUGCUAGGUGGUAUUACCAAUAACCUAAAAAAAGGGCAGCCCGGUGCAUGUAGCUCCCGCUUGCGCAGGCUCCGGGGAAGGGUCCGACCACUUUGGGUCUAUUGUAGGCAGCCUUUCCCUACAUUUCUGCAGGGAUCGGCUUUGGUGGUGGCAGACGCUGGCAAGUCAUGGGGUUAGAGCAUAUGAAGCUGACAUGGCGUUUGAAACUUACGUGGUCAUUGAAGGGCUUCGCAAUAGUGCUUACAGAGUCUGGGAAAGAAAAUAUGGAGGAAUAAGCUACGAUAAUUUUGGUGAAGAACUUUCUUUCCCUAUGUUGUGAAGAGUUUGCUCCUCUGAUAGAUUUGUGUUCUUAGAAAAUGCGAGGAUGAUGACAAUGAUUGUGCUACUUCUAUCUUCUUCAGCUCCUCAUGCUUCCCAAGGUCGCAGGUGUUAGUGGAGAUUGAAGUUCGAAGGAGGCUGCUCGCGAGACGACUGGGCUUCCUUCAAUAGUGGUGCUAACAUUUUGAAUAAUAAACCGGGAGCUGACAAGCGGUCUGAAUUUCUGCUAGGUAUGCUUCUCCAUCCCCCUACCUUCUCAGUUCCCCCAUUUCUGUUGGGUCUGAAUUUCCGGUUGAUUAGGAAAUAUGAACAUCGUACCAUCUGAAUUUACCUAUUUUAUUACCAUGUUCCUUAUAUAUUCAGUUGUGUCAUAGAUAAUUCACCCCCUCGACUUCUAUACAAUUUUUUGUCUAUUCUGCACCAUACAACAACAGCCCAACAAGAAAUACAUGUACACGUAUUUUGCUGACUCAGUUGCUGUGGUAUGGUACUUAUGUCAUGCAAACAAAUAACCUGCUUAAUUUACUUUAGUGAUUUAAAUUUACAAAAUUAGGGUAAUAGUGAUCUGAAUGUACAAACUAGGAUAUCUGUGACCUAUUUGAUACACUUAAACAGUUUUCGAAAACUGAUAAUGUUAUUUACUUACAUGUGAAUGUUUACUCAUAAAUCUAGAAGUGGUUGGCAAGGUAAAUGAGGGUAAAACUGAGAAUAUGUCAACAAUGCCAACAUGCACAUGCUUCAUGUUUGAAUAAAUGUUAAAAAUAUACUCCCUCUGUUCCUACAUAUAAGACCUUUUAGAGAUGCAGAGGCCGGGGGUCCCCCUCCUUUUCUAAAAAAAAAGACUACAUACAGAGCAAAAUGAGUGAAUCUACACUCUAAAGUAUGUCUAUAUACAUCCGUAUGUAGUCCAUAGUGGAAUCUCUAAAAGAUCAUAUAUUUAGGUAUUCUGAAAUAGAGUGACUGAAGGAGUCUCAAACUAUAUACAUGAGGAUGCAUAUCUUAAGAGUUUAUUAUGUUAAUAAAUACUAAUUUACUUGCCAGUGGAUUACUUUGGUUAGUUUUCACAAGUUUUCAAAUUGUAGGAUUUUUUUACCUUACCGCUUUGUAGCCCCUGUAGAGGAAUGUAUGUAGUGGAUCAUGCACUACUGGAAGUUGAUCGUUGGGUGAAGGAAGAUGGAUGGUCUUACCGCUCUGUUCUUCUUGCUAAGUGGAUUACGACUUCCUUGCUCCCCUUUAUGGACAAGCAUUCUCAUCUGCUGGUCACUUGCCUAAGAUACAAUAUGCUAAUGCUAUCUUGGUUCUGUUUCGUUUGCUCUUGCAGAAAAUAAGUGAAAUGUGCAGACCGACCACAUGGGCGGCCGGUCUUGCAACUCCCAGUGCUCUCAACCCCCCACUAACCCUCUCUCAUUUUGAUCUAGCCGACUAAGAUUUAUUAAGUACUGCAACCAAAUCAUAAUUUGGACACCAAAACCUGAAUGAUAAGUAACAUGUAGAUAUACCAUGUGCUGUAGAUGUCAAUCGUGGAUGCGGAAAAUACCUCGGGAGUAGAGUCAAUUAGAACUGUGGAUUGAUGUAUUUAUUCCUUUGUAUUAUUAAAAACAACCUUUAUAUAUAAGCACAAUGACUUCCACCAUGGCUUUGACAGGGACAGUCAAGUGUUCUGAUUUAUUGCUGCUAUAUUCAAAUUUAUCGGAUGCCCACUAAAGCGUUGCAUGUGCAAGCAAUUCUUGCUGUUCCAUGCAGAAUAGUUUGGUUCGUAAAUGCAAACUGAUUAACCAUAUGAUUGCAUUGGCUGUGUAUUAGGAUUCGUUCUGCCUUCUUCUUUUUUAUAUUGUCCUCUAUUUGUUGUGCCUAAUCUUUAUGUCCUCAUUGUUUUUGUUACAUUUUAUAACUCUAGGAUCUACUCGGCACGAACGAAAUUACUAACAUGCCUCUUCUUUUUACUAAUGAUUGAAACUCAGGAUAAACACUACUGGCAAGGGGGCUUGCUGAUGUAAACACCCUUCUCCUUUACUGGUUUAUCUUAGAAGGCAAGCAUGAUGUUUUUCCUAGUUGAUUCCCUACUCCAGUUAAUCAUUCAAUGUUCUUUUUGCCCUUCUUUGAAUAUCAAUAGGAACUCCUCAGGAAUUCAAAGCUAAGAAUUGCCAACUAACUUUUGUGUUCAGCGCAGAGAAGAUCAUCCUUCCUUUAUUUUUCUUUUAACUUUUGUUGUCUGCACACUACAAAACACAUCCAUAAAUUUCAUAGAAUGCCCCUUUCGGUUUCUAUACCGUUCAUCUUUUUUAUUUCAAUCUUCAUGCAUCCAGAUGCUAUCUUGCCCAGGGUUUCAACAAAAUUACUUUCUGCUCUAGAUUUUGUCUAGGCUCAGAACAAAAAUAUUACUCUAUAAAAUGAGCAUGGAAUGACAAAACUCAUGUUCACUCUUGAAAACUAUUUCACAGUGCUUUAUAUAAACAUUUUGGUUUUUUUAUUCCCUACUUUUAAAAGUGUUUUUUGUUCAAAUCAAUUAUUACCUUUUUUGUGAGGGGUUCAAAGAAAAAAAAUUGACAAACCAAUUAUUAUUACUUAAAAGGAUAAGAGCAUCCGUUUGUCUUUUGGGCCAACGGCCCUCUCUUCUGGCCUGCCGCAUCCACUCUGUCCACCGAAUCUUAUCAUGUCUGCUUCCCUGAGCUCAUCUUCUUCUCCUCUCUCUGCCUCCAAGUCCUCUCUGACUGCGCUGUUUCGCUAGAUCCCCGGAGAGCAAGAAGAGCACCACCAUCUGCUCCAACCCGCCGACUGGUAGAUCCGUUUUGGUUCUUAACAGAAUCAACGAGAGACCCCUCCGAGCACAAGGCUAAUUACCAAGCCCUCUGGGUUUCUGUUUUGGACCCAUUCUCAUGGAGUUGGUAGAGCUGUCCACCACAUCGCUAGCUGAGGCAAUGUUUGAGAAGCUCGGGCUACCUAAACCAGUCUAUUAUGUGCACCAACUUGAGCAGGGUCGAUAUAGAUCAGAGGUUGAAUUUCAUUGUACAAAAGAGCGCUUCCACGCUUCAGCACGUUGGACUAAACUGUCAAGUUGUAUAUGUGAGCAUGGGGAAGCAUCAUUGAAUCAUGCAGCCGAUAAGGUCAUCGGAUACAUGGAAACCAGAGAGAGGAAUGUUGUUGUUAACUACUAUCAGCUGCAGGAGCAGAAAAACAGCCACCUUUUGUUUCAUAUCGAUCAAACCAGUAUCUUUCCCAUUUUGGGGUACUCGAGCAAGAUAUGUAUAGUCUUUGGUCUUCUAUUGCUACCUGUAUGGUUAAAAGUA